rnacentral:rRNA from 1 species
AUACGAAGGGGGCUAGCGUUGUUCGGAAUCACUGGGCGUAAAGCGCGCGUAGGUGGACUAAUCAGUUGAGGGUGAAAUCCCGGGGCUCAACCUCGGAACUGCCUUCAAUACUGUUAGUCUUGAGACCGAGAGAGGGGAGUGGAAUUCCUAGUGUAGAGGUGAAAUUCGUAGAUAUUAGGAAGAACACCAGUGGCGAAGGCGGCUCACUGGCUCGGUACUGACGCUGAGGUGCGAAAGCGUGGGGAGCAAACAGGAUUAGAUACCCUAGUAGUCC